rnacentral:lncRNA from 1 species
GAGAGACUGUCAAUAUUGGAAAAUCAAUGCUUGCUACUAGUAUUGUGAGCCGAGAUGACACCUUGGAUCCUAGCUAUAACUUUAAAGAUGCAGGAUCCAUACAAAAUUUAAUUCAAAAGGAUCGAGUUCUGGCUGCAGUAUGUCUCACAGAUGUGUGUGACUUGUUCUUUUUAAUUUUCCACUUCUCAGGUCAGUGAUGAAGCCAAUUAUAUGAAGAUGUCAAAAACUGACCGCACCCAGCAGAUACAGGAACUUCAUUCCAGAAUAGAUGAAAACACCUUAAUUGGCAGAAUCUACUAGUAAGAAAGCUUUUGAAGAUGAGAUACAAAAUAGCUUAAACUCUGUUCUAGCUUCGGAAGAUAGCAGAAGAGUUGAUGAAAAUCUUUGCAAUCCUCUUUCUGCCACUGCUAGUGGGGGUGGUACUCCUGUCAGUGAAAGUAAUCCUGGUUUUGUGGGUAAAAUACCUGAACAAAUGAAGCAGCUCUUGCUGAAAGGGAUGAGAAAAAUAACUGAUGAGGGGAUCAUUCAGAUUGCCAAUCCUCUGACUUACCAAAGUUAAGGAUACCAUUGACAGAAAGGAUACUAUAUAUGCAAGAACGAAAAGAGACUUACUCUUCACCAGUGAGGUAUGUGGUAUCAAAGAAUAUGCUCUUUUGGUAUUUGACAGGAGUCUGACAUGUGUCAUAUCUAAUUUCUGUUUUCAGGUGCUUGUGUCAAUUCCAUGCGUUCUUGUAACCCCAAAGAGAAAAUUAGCAGGUCAUUUGGCAGUCAUUAGGGGGGGGGACUUGUUCUUUGUGUUGAAAGAGAUAAUCUAGGGUAAACUAGGAAAAGAUAAAAUACCGUUAGUAUUUUUUAUAUAGUUUAACAGAGGUGCAGGAUUUGGAAACCAGAGAUCAAAAACGGUUGUCUAUGUAGGGUCGAAAUUCAUAUCGAUUCUUUCUUCGUGAUAUAUAUGAGGAUUUUGAUUCUCACCUUUGAUUUGGAAAUUGAAUGUCACAAGGAGUACAGCUCUGCCUUAAAGGAAGUGUUGAUAGGAGAUGCUGAUGAACAAACAUGGAGGUAUUAAAAUGUUGAAUCCUGUUUUCCCCCUCCCAGCACGAAUAUGAUUAUCUAAUAAUAGUAUUUACAAUUUGUUCCUGUACUCUUUCAGAAAACCACGGAAUUUUAGGCAGUCAAUACCAAAUGACGGUGUGUUCAACAGUUCACCUUAAUUACUUUUGCCUUGUCUUUUAACUGCUGAUGAUGAGCAAAGCAAGAGUAGGUUGCAGCUUACUAUCUGGUAAUAUUUUUUACUGAUUACAUGAUAGCAAGUUUAUAAAUUUUCUUAUUAUUGGUAACAAAUAUGGUCAAUUCUUAAGUUUUAAGAUUAUAAACCCAUCAGAAACUAACAUUAUGUAUGGAAUGCUGGAUGAUGGUGCUCGUUUUCAUCUUUUAUCACAUUUGAUUCGAGAGACUGUCAAUAUUGGAAAAUCAAUGCUUGCUACUAGUAUUGUGAGCCUAGCUAUAACUUUAAAGAUGCAGGAUCCAUACAAAAUUUAAUUCAAAAGGAUCGAGUUCUGGCUGCAGUAUGUCUCACAGAUGUGUGUGACUUGUUCUUUUUAAUUUUCCACUUCUCAGGUCAGUGAUGAAGCCAAUUAUAUGAAGAUGUCAAAAACUGACCGCACCCAGCAGAUACAGGAACUUCAUUCCAGAAUAGAUGAAAACACCUUAAUUGGCAGAAUCUACUAGUAAGAAAGCUUUUGAAGAUGAGAUACAAAAUAGCUUAAACUCUGUUCUAGCUUCGGAAGAUAGCAGAAGAGUUGAUGAAAAUCUUUGCAAUCCUCUUUCUGCCACUGCUAGUGGGGGUGGUACUCCUGUCAGUGAAAGUAAUCCUGGUUUUGUGGGUAAAAUACCUGAACAAAUGAAGCAGCUCUUGCUGAAAGGGAUGAGAAAAAUAACUGAUGAGGGGAUCAUUCAGAUUGCCAAUCCUCUGACUUACCAAAGUUAAGGAUACCAUUGACAGAAAGGAUACUAUAUAUGCAAGAACGAAAAGAGACUUACUC